UGAUAUGUAGCAGAGCUAGGUAUGCACUGGAACAUUCUCAGUGAUUGGUGUGGAGGGGAUUAUUUAUAUAUGUCAUAUAUAGAAUGGUGGAGAGAUACUACAAGUGGAGGAUUGAAAAACAGCGAUAUGUAGCAGAGCUAGGUAUGCGCUUGAACAUUCUCAGUGAUUGGUGAGGUUGGGAUUAUCUAUAUAUGUCAUAUAUAGAAUGGUGGAGAGAUACUACAAGUGGAGGAGUGAAAAACAGCGAUAUGUAGCAGAGCUAGGCAUGCGCUGGAACAUCCUCAGUGAUUGGUGUGGAGAAGAUUAUCUAUAUAUGUCAUAUAUAGAAUGGUGGAGAGAUACUA